ensembl:lincRNA
AUGUCCUGGGCUCGUGGAGUUACGCUUUGCUGUUGUUCAGUCACUCAGUUGUGUCUGACUCUCUGCAGCCCCAUGGACUGCAGCGCACCAGGCUUCCCUGUCCUUCAUUAUCUCCUGGAGACUGCUCAAACUCCUGUCCAUCGAGUCAGUGAUGCAUCCAACCAUCUCAUCCUCUGUUUCCCCCUUCUCCUGCCCUCAAUCUUUCCCAUCAUCACGUUCUUCUCCAAUGAGUUGACUCUUUGCAUCAGGUGGCCAAAGUAUUGGAGCUUCAGCUUCAGCGUCAGUCCUUCCAAAGAAUAUUCAGGACUGAUUUCCUUUAGGAUUGACUGGUUUGAUCUCCUUGCAGUCCAAGGGACCCUCAAGAGUCUUCUCCAGCACCACAUUCUGAAAGCAUCAAUUCUUUGGUGUUUAGUCUUCUUUAUGGUCCAACUCUCAUAUCCAUACCUGACUAUUGGAAAGACCAUAGCUGUAUCUCAUAAUGUUUAUCUGUGUAUCUGUGUGUGUGUGUGUUUGUGUGUGUGUGUGUAUGUGAAGGGCAGUGUGUGUGUGUGUGUGUGUGAAGGUGUGUGUGUGUAUGUGAAGGGGUGUGUGUGUGUGUGUGGGGGUGGGUGUGUAUGUGUGUGGGGGGGGGGGGGGGUGUGGGGGGGGGUUCUCCCUUCUCCCUUGGCUCACAAGCCACUGCUUAGGCUACAAUUGGUGAGGGGGAAAUGUGUGAACUUGGAGAGAGGUGUGAACGUGGGUAUGUAUGUGAAGGGCAGUGUGUGUGUGUGUGUGUGUGAGGGUGUGUGUGUAUAUGUGAAGGGUGUGUGUGUGUGUGGGUGUGUGGGGGUGUGUGUGUGUGUGUGUGUGUGUGUGUAUGUGAAGGUGUGUGUGUGUGUGUGUGGGGGUGUGUGUGUGUGUGUGUGUGUGUGUGUGUGUGGGGGUGUGUGUGUGUGUGUGUGUGUGUGUGUGAAGGUGUGUGUGUAUGAAGGGGUGUGUGUGUGUGAAGGGGUGUGUAUGUGGGUGUGAAGGUGUGUGUAUAUAUGUGAAGGGGUGUGUGUGUGUGUGAAGGGGUGUGUGUGUAUGAAGGUGUGCGUGUAUAGGUGAAGGGGUGUAUGUGUGUAUGUGAAGGUGUGUGUGUGUGUGUGUGUGAAGGGGUGUGUGUGUAUGAAGGUGUGCGUGUAUAGGUGAAGGGGUGUAUGUGUGUAUGUGAAGGUGUGUGUGUGUGUGUGUGAGGGUGUGUGUGUAUAUGUGAAGGGUGUGUGUGUGUGUGGGUGUGUGGGGGUGUGUGUGUGUGUGUGUGUGUGUGUGUAUGUGAAGGUGUGUGUGUGUAUGUGAAGGUGUGUGUGUGUAUGUGAAGGUGUGUGUGUGUGUGUGUAUGUUAAGGUGUGUGUGUGUAUAUGAAGGUGUGUGUGUGUGUGUGAAGGGGUGUGUGUGUGUGUGAACGUGGGUAUUAUGUGAAGGGCAGUGUGUGUGUGUGUGUGUGUGUGAAGGUGUGUGUGUAUGAAGGGGUGUGUGUGUGUGAAGGGGUGUGUAUGUGGGUGUGAAGGUGUGUGUAUAUAUGUGAAGGGGUGUGUGUGUGUGUGAAGGGGUGUGUGUGUAUGAAGGUGUGCGUGUAUAGGUGAAGGGGUGUAUGUGUGUAUGUGAAGGUGUGUGUAUAUAUGUGAUGGGUGUGUGUGUGUGAAGGUGUGUGUGUAUGAAGGGGUGUGUGUGUGUGAAGGGGUGUGUAUGUGGGUGUGAAGGUGUGUGUAUAUAUGUGAAGGGGUGUGUGUGUGUGAAGGUGUGUGUGUAUAGGUGAAGGGUGUAUGUGUGUAUGUGAAGGUGUGUGUGUGUGUGUGUAUGUUAAGGUGUGUGUGUGUGUAUGAAGGUGUGUGUGUGUGUGUGUGUGUGUGUGUGUGGUCUGCAAAGUCAGGAAACCAAUUAUGCCUGAGCAAUAGAUUCAUUGUUGUUUAGUGGCUAAGUCGUGUCCAACCCUUCAGUGACUCCAUGGGUUAUAGCCAGCCAGGCUCCUCUGUCCACUGAGCAAUGUUCGUUACAAAUAACUGGUUAGUUUUCAAAUAUUGGCCCAAUAUUUUCCUUGGCCCUGCUAGCUCAGUUGGUUAAGAAUCUGCUUGCAGUGCAGGAGACCUGGGUUCGAUCACUGGGCUAAGAAGAUCCCCUGGAGAAAGGAAAGGCUACCCUACUCCAGUAUUCUGGCCUGGAGAAUCCCAAAGAGUCGGACACAACAGAGCGACUUUCUCUUUCCCUUUUCACUUUUCUUGGCCCAAUCCUUUCCAGAUGUGUUGAACACUAAUAUAUUGAUUUUUUUUGUACUGUACUUUUUUUUUUCAGAUUCGCAAUUAGCCCCACUGAAUUAAAUUUGAAGGGACUUCACCUGAAAACACAGCAAGCUGGUUAUUUGAAAAUUGUAAAGAAGUUCUCCCAGCUUUGCUGCCUGCUGCAUACCUCAUGGGAGGGGACAGAGCCAAUGGGAGCCGGAGGGGAAGGCAGGGGGCAGGGACAGGAUUUUCCAGAAGGAGUAAGCUUGCAUUGGGUCACAGGGUGAGGGAGACGCAAAAGGAAUAGGGGGGAGGGAAGCUGGCUGGGUGGGGGUGGGUGGCAUCCAGGUGCCUGGGCACUCAAGGCCUUGCUAAAUGUGGGCUUGGCUGGGGGGGGGUGGGUGGCAUCCAGGUGCCUGGGCACUCAAGGCCUUGCUAAAUGUGGGCUAAGUGGGUGUCCAGGGGAGCUGUGCUGACGGCCUCAGUUUCUGCUUUGCUUGAGGCAACACCUUUGGCUCCAAGCAUAGGAGGGGUGCCCAAGGCCCCAGUGGGCAGAGGCUGGGGGCCUGAGG